UGUCCCACCUCGGGGUGCCCCUGGCGGGGCUGAGACGCGUGAUGCGGACCCGUUGAACCUGAACCGGUUGAUACCGGCGGAGGGAAGGUCGGUAUCCGCUGC
rnacentral:ncRNA from 2 species